UGAGGUAGUCAAUUUCUCUACAUGAUGAUGUCAAUUGUCAAGUAAAUUCUUGAUUCUUAAAUAGACUUCAAAGAGGAAUUUAUGAGUUCCGUCAUCCUGUGCUUGGACAAGAAAUAUAUUUUUAAAGGGACAUUUUUAAUGGCACUGAAUUUUGUUAAAUAUUGUAUGCUUAUUAGUACCCAUGUAUCUUAUGCAUGUAUAAUAGGUUUAUAUUGAUCCACCAAAUUGGUACUAAUGACAUAUAACACAGUUCACUUUAUGUUUUUGUUAAAAGUGUACUAAUAUUCUCUAUUGUUCUCGAGGAAUUUAGAAUUGAUGCCAUCUUUUGCUUGUGCAUUUCAUUUGACGGAUACCAAUGAAUUGUUACCCACUUUGGCAAUCACAGGAGACUGGUGUCUUUGGGCUGUCUUCAUCACUGAUUCUAGUUGCCGCUAUUACUUCAUAAUUUGUCAUUGUCAGAUUUUAAAUUUUUUUUUUGAAUCUUAUUUUGCAGCUAUUUGAUGGACACAAUGGGCCUGCGGCUGCCAUAUACUCUAAGGAAAAUCUCCUAAAUAAUGUUUUGGCAUGUAUUCCUUCGAACCUUCACAGAGAUGAAUGGAUUGGAGCACUGCCAAGGGCUUUGGUUGUGGGGUUUGUAAAAACUGAUAAAGAUUUUCAAGAGAGAGCACAAACUUCGGGAACAACCGUCACCUUUAUGAUUAUUGAAGGAUGGUUCAUAACUGUAGCAUCUGUUGGUGAUUCUCGUUGUGUACUUGAAUCGGCUGAUGGUGAAAUAUAUUAUCUCUUUGCAGAUCAUAGGCUUAAAUGUAGUGUAGAAGACAUGAGAGAACGCAUAACUGCAAGCGGUGGUGAGGUUGGUCGGCUUAAUACUGGUGGUGGUACAGAGGUAUAACUUUUAGUUCAUUUUAGUUGUACACUUAAUAUUUUAUAGCACACAAACUUGAAUGCCCAUAUUGAUGAACUGUAUUCAAAUUAUGGAUAAGUAGAACCACAAAUCAUUAAUUACAUGGGCAUGUCUACAUAGUGGACCAAAAAUCAUGUGAUCUGAAAAGCAGAAUGUUGUUAAGUAAACAUAUUUAAUGUA